CGGAAAUAAGCACCGGCUAACUACGUGCCAGCAGCCGCGGUAAUACGUAGGGUGCAAGCGUUAAUCGGAAUUACUGGGCGUAAAGCGUGCGCAGGCGGUUAUGUAAGACAGAGGUGAAAUCCCCGGGCUCAACCUGGGAACUGCCUUUGUGACUGCAUAGCUGGAGUGCGGCAGAGGGGGAUGGAAUUCCGCGUGUAGCAGUGAAAUGCGUAGAUAUGCGGAGGAACACCGAUGGCGAAGGCAAUCCCCUGGGCCUGCACUGACGCUCAUGCACGAAAGCGUGGGGAGCAAACAGGAUUAGAUACCCUGGUAGUCCACGCCCUAAACGAUGUCAACUGGUUGUUGGGUCUUCACUGACUCAGUAACGAAGCUAACGCGUGAAGUUGACCGCCUGGGGAGUACGGCCGCAAGGUUAAAACUCAAAGGAAUUGACGGGGACCCGCACAAGCGGUGGAUGAUGUGGUUUAAUUCGAUGCAACGCGAAAAACCUUACCCACCUUUGACAUGUACGGAAUCCUUUAGAGAUAGAGGA
rnacentral:rRNA from 1 species